rnacentral:rRNA from 1 species
UUUUUGGAGAGUUUGAUCUUGGCUCAGGACGAACGCUGGCGGCGUGCCUAAUACAUGCAAGUCGAGCGCGGGAAGCAAGCAAACAUCCUUCGGGAUG